CCUACGGGGGGCUGCAGUGGGGAAUUUUGGACAAUGGGGGCAACCCUGAUCCAGCCAUGCCGCGUGCGGGAAGAAGGCCUUCGGGUUGUAAACCGCUUUUGUCAGGGAAGAAAUCUUCCGAGCUAAUACCUUGGGAGGAUGACGGUACCUGAAGAAUAAGCACCGGCUAACUACGUGCCAGCAGCCGCGGUAAUACGUAGGGUGCAAGCGGGGCUCGGAAUUACCGGGGGUAGUUGUUGCAGACGGGUGUGAAAUCCCCGGGCUUAACCUGGGAACUGCACUUGUGACUGUACGGCUGGAGUACGGCAGAGGGGGAUGGAAUUCCGCGUGUAGCAGUGAAAUGCGUAGAUAUGCGGAGGAACACCGAUGGCGAAGGCAGUCCCCUGGGCCUGUACUGACGCUCAUGCACGAAAGCGUGGGGAGCAAACAGGAUUAGAUACCCCAGUAGUC
rnacentral:rRNA from 1 species